AAAGUUUUAUUCUGGCUUGUUUUUCUUUUUUCGGUUUUUUAUACAUGUAUUCUUUUGAGUUAGGCGUUAUUAUGCCCUGGAGGGGCAGAUGUUGGGUUUGUUAAUUUAUAGCAGUGUUUGGCUUUAUAUUUAUUUAGUCAGGGCUUGAUAUAGAUAUCUUGGUUAGUUCCGGCAAAAUUCGUGCCAGCUGCCGCGGUUAGACGAGGGGAACAAGAAGAAAAUUGUUGAUUGAUGUAGUUGGGAGGGAAGGUAGACUUAUGAGGAUUAAUAUUAGAAUUAGUUUAGUAGGUGAAAUUAUAAUUGUUGUAUAUGUUCUUUGUUUUGAGGCUAUGAAAAUACUAUUAUAAACUAGGAUUAGAUACCCUAUUAUAGGUAUUAUAAAGUGUAUUGUGUUGGGGUAGUAGUAGUUAUGUGCUUGAAACCCAAAGAAUUUGGCGGUGCUUUAGUCUAUUCAGAGGAACCUGUCCCGUGAUCGAUAGUCCACGUUAUAAUCUUACUUGUUAUUGUGUGUCAGUUUGUAUACCGCCGUCUUUAGAGAAAGUUUGGAGAUGAUUUUCAUUACUUUAAUUUAGGGUAAAAUCAGGUCAAGGUGCAGCUAAUUAACAAGAGGAGAUGGGUUACAAUAGAUUUUUUAUUACGAAUUCUUAUUGAAAAAUAGGAUGAAGGUGGAUUUGAAUGUAAUUUGGAAUAAUAGUGUUGGGGUGAGUUUGGCUCUAGAGCAUGCACACAUCGCCCGUCACUCUCAUUUUAGGUGAGAAAAGUCGUAACAUAGUAGACGUAUUGGAAAAUGUGUCUAGGCUGGU
rnacentral:ncRNA from 1 species